rnacentral:rRNA from 1 species
GAUGAACGCUGGCGGCGUGCUUAACACAUGCAAGUCGAACGAAGCGCUUCGGACAGAUUCUUCGGAUGAAGUCCUUAGUGACUGAGUGGCGGACGGGUGAGUAACGCGUGGGUAACCUGCCUCAUACAGGGGGAUAACAGUUAGAAAUGGCUGCUAAUACCGCAUAAGCGCACGGUACUGCAUGGUACAGUGUGAAAAACUCCGGUGGUAUGAGAUGGACCCGCGUUGGAUUAGCUAGUUGGCAGGGUAACGGCCUACCAAGGCGACGAUCCAUAGCCGGCCUGAGAGGGUGGACGGCCACAUUGGGACUGAGACACGGCCCAGACUCCUACGGGAGGCAGCAGUGGGGAAUAUUGCACAAUGGGGGAAACCCUGAUGCAGCGACGCCGCGUGAGCGAAGAAGUAUUUCGGUAUGUAAAGCUCUAUCAGCAGGGAAGAAAAUGACGGUACCUGACUAAGAAGCCCCGGCUAACUACGUGCCAGCAGCCGCGGUAAUACGUAGGGGGCAAGCGUUAUCCGGAUUUACUGGGUGUAAAGGGAGCGUAGACGGAAUGGCAAGUCUGAUGUGAAAGGCCGGGGCUCAACCCCGGGACUGCAUUGGAAACUGUCAAUCUAGAGUACCGGAGGGGUAAGUGGAAUUCCUAGUGUAGCGGUGAAAUGCGUAGAUAUUAGGAGGAACACCAGUGGCGAAGGCGGCUUACUGGACG